UGAUAAAAUGUUCCUUUUCGUUUAGAAAUAGUUUGGUUAAUUUGGAUAAUAGUCGGCUUUGGACGUUUAUCAAGUUUAUGCAAAGUAAUUCUAACUAGUUUCUUUUCAUCUAAUGGUUUUCUAAAAUCUAUUAUUCUUUUUGUUAUAGAUACCAUGGCACGUACUGUGGGUCAAGGUAAUUCUCACGCUAGUGGUCAAGAUAGUGCUCAAGUUUGUGGUGGAGGUGUUGGGCGAGGUGGGGGUCAAGUUAUUAAACGAGGUGUUGGGGGAGGUAGUAGCCAAUCUAGUUGUCUAGCUAGUGAUCGAGGUGUUGGGCGAGGUGGUGGUCAAGCUAGUGACCGAGGUGUUGGUGGAGGUAGUAGUCAAUCUAGUCGGUCUAGCUGGUGAUCGAGUUGUGGGGGAGAUGGUAGUCAAUUUAGUCUAGUUGGCGAACGAGGUGUUAGGAGAUGUAGUAGUCUAGUUAGUAGUCAAGGGAGUGGUUUAGCUAGCUAUCGAGGUGGUGGUAAACCGGGUGAUCAAGAUGUUGGACGAGGUGGUAGUCAAGCGGAUGAUGAUGAUGAAUCUGUUGUUCAUGCGAUGCAUUCUCCCAUUGAGGGUAGUGAUGAUGAUGAGUCUAUGUUUCUUGUUGCUUUUGCAAGACAAGGAUGCGUUGCCCAAGUCCAAGCACCUGAACCAAUCAAGCGCGAGUGGAUUUAUGUUAAAGAUGGGAAAUUUAGUAAUUAAGGGACGUCUACCCGGAGUAUUGGAAGUAACUUAAGGGCUUUGUGGUCAGGUCCAUGGGACAGAUGGAAAGAUGUUCCUAAUGAUCACAAGAGGCGAUUGUUUGAGUGAUUCUAGGUGUGUGUACUUACGCAGUUUUUAAUUUAGUUACGAUCAUGUAUGAAGCAAUCAAUCUAAUUUUGUUACCAGCAAAUCAUUACCAGAAUUCGCAAUCAAAAGAUUUUGAGUAUCAACA